rnacentral:rRNA from 1 species
UGCGCAGGCGGCCUAGUAAGUCAGAGGUGAAAGCCCACAGCUUAACUGUGGAAUUGCCUUUGAUACUGCUAAGCUUGAAUUAGGUUGAGGUUGGCGGAAUGUGACAUGUAGCGGUGAAAUGCAUAGAUAUGUCAUAGAACACCAAUUGCGAAGGCAGCUGGCUAGACCCUAAUUGACGCUGAGGCACGAAAGCGUGGGGAGCGAACAGGAUUAGAUACCCUGGUAGUCC